UACGAAGGGGGCGAGCGUUGUUCGGAUUUACUGGGCGUAAAGGGCGCGUAGGCCGGCGGGUCAAGUCGAGUGUGAAAGCCCCCGGGCUCAACCCUGGGAAUUGCGCUCGAGACUGGUCUGCUUGAGUCCGGAAGAGGAGAGUGGAAUUCCUGGUGUAGCGGUGAAAUGCGCAGAUAUCGGGAGGAACACCUGUGGCGAAGGCGGCCACCUGGUUGGAUACUGACGCUGAGACGCGAAAGCGUGGGAGCAACAGGAU
rnacentral:rRNA from 1 species